CGCAUCCACCUUUAGCCUCAGAAAGGACUGGGCCUUGACCACAUUGAAUUUAAACCUCCACCGUGUUUCAGAUAUCUCCGUUCUGUUUUGACAUGGCGGAGUAAGACAAAUACACCCAAAUGGCAGCUCCGGAGACCCUAGAACACACUGUGCUGUACCCUGACCCUCUAGCAGAGUUGUCACCGCUGGAGAGAAACAGAUUUUGCCUCCAAGAAGGAGAAGAGAGAUGCAGGCUCACGGAGCAGAACAUGAUGAAUAUCACUUUUCCACUGGGGCAAAAGUCACACAGCCAAAGAAGCGAGGCAAUCAUCCAGAAAACAAAAUUGUUUUUGUCUGAGUGGCCAUUGGAGAGACUGAAAAACAGGCUCUUCAGACGCAACUUCUUCAGAAUAUUUUUAGUACAGGAGGAUGUAGAACCCACGGAUACGGAUGACCUGUUGCGCAUCUCAUGAUAAUCCCUACAGGUAACUCGAACAACAGUAUCAACCACCCCC
rnacentral:lncRNA from 1 species